rnacentral:rRNA from 1 species
AUUAAACGCUGGCGGCAUGCCUUACACAUGCAAGUCGAACGGUAGCGCGGGGCAACCUGGCGACGAGUGGCGAACGGGUGAGUAAAGCAUCGGAACGUGCCCUGGAAUGGGGGAUAACGUAGCGAAAGUUACGCUAAUACCGCAUAUUCUGUGAGCAGGAAAGCAGGGGAUCGCAAGACCUUGCGUUCUGGGAGCGGCCGAUGUCGGAUUAGCUAGUUGGUGGGGUAAAAGCCUACCAAGGCGACGAUCCGUAGCGGGUCUGAGAGGAUGAUCCGCCACACUGGGACUGAGACACGGCCCACGACUCCUACGGGAGGCAGCAGUGGGGAAUUUUGGACAAUGGGCGGAAGCCUGAUCCAGCCAUGCCGCGUGAGUGAAGAAGGCC